UCCGAAUUGGUGUAGUGGCUAACAUUUGACGCUCUCAUUCUUCCUACGGUCAAGAGGGGUUGCCGUCAAGCCCGGGGUUCGAUUCCCCGAUUCGGAG